AUACAUUUAUAAAAACAUUAGCAGGUGUUCAAAAGGCCCUGUCUAUGACAUCACUUGCUGCUGCAGCUUGACACAGGUCAGAGUAUUUUGGUGGUUGCCAUCUUCAAACGGUCGUAUCUUAAAAACUAUAACUCCUACAGUGAAGAGCUUUAUAUUGUGAGAAUCACAAGACCCAGACCUACAUUUUGAUGCAUAGUAUGUCUCUGAAGUAUUAAAAUUGAAGGCGCAGUCGCAGUUUAGAAAUUGCACUUCAAAUUUGAGCUUUGCAGAGUGAAGUUUCAAUGAAUGUCAAUGGACGGCGUUGGUUGCAAACAAAUGGUCAUAUUGUGAAAACUAUCAGGACUACGGCUUAGCCGUUUACAUGUUUAGUGGCAGCAGGGAUAGCUGAACGUUUUGAUAUAAGAUUUGUGUAGGUGGGCUUGAAAAUGAGGGAGUGGUGGCAGUUUAGAAAUCAUGUCCUGAUUUUUCAGCUUUUGCCAGCUCCCACUCUAGCUUUGCCAUUCAUUCCUAUAGGACAAAUUUCGCCACAAGAACGACGAUAUUCCGUGAACCAUUCGGCGAAACGUUCCACAAAGUAAUAGCAAUCCGAUCGGGAACAAUCUGCACGUUUUGGUAAAUUUUGGUCUAUGUAGUGUAAAAACUGUGGGAGGAGUUAGGGCG